UGUAAUCCAUGAUGAAGUCUAUAACAACUGCUGAUUUCCAGAGAUUAUCACAAACAUAUUCACCAUCUUUCGGCUGAGACUGCU
rnacentral:snoRNA from 1 species